rnacentral:rRNA from 1 species
AUUGAACGCUGGCGGCAUGCCUUACACAUGCAAGUCGAACGGCAGCGCGGGGCAACCUGGCGGCGAGUGGCGAACGGGUGAGUAAUAUAUCGGAACAUACCCUAGAGUGGGGGAUAACGUAGCGAAAGUUACGCUAAUACCGCAUACGCACUAAGGUGGAAAGUGGGGGAUCUUCGGACCUCAUGCUCAUGGAGUGGCCGAUAUCUGAUUAGCUAGUUGGUGAGGUAAAGGCUCACCAAGGCGACGAUCAGUAGCUGGUUUGAGAGAACGACCAGCCACACUGGAACUGAGACACGGUCCAGACUCCUACGGGAGGCAGCAGUGGGGAAUUUUGGACAAUGGGGGCAACCCUGAUCCAGCAAUGCCGCGUGAGUGAAGAAGGCUUUCGGGUUGUAAAGCUCUUUUGUCAGGGAAGAACGGUGAGUUCUAAUAAAGCUUGCUAAUGACGGUACCUGAAGAAUAAGCACCGGCUAACUACGUGCCAGCAGCCGCGGUAAU